rnacentral:rRNA from 1 species
AGUGAACGCUGGCGGUAGGCCUAACACAUGCAAGUCGAACGGCAGCACAGUAAGAGCUUGCUCUUACGGGUGGCGAGUGGCGGACGGGUGAGGCAUACAUCGGAAUCUACUUUUUCGUGGGGGAUAACGUAGGGAAACUUACGCUAAUACCGCAUACGACCUACGGGUGAAAGCAGGGGCUCUUCGGACCUUGCGCGAUUGAAUGAGCCGAUGUCGGAUUAGCUAGUUGGCGGGGUAAAGGCCCACCAAGGCGACGAUCCGUAGCUGGUCUGAGAGGAUGAUCAGCCACACUGGAACUGAGACACGGUCCAGACUCCUACGGGAGGCAGCAGUGGGGAAUAUUGGACAAUGGGCGCAAGCCUGAUCCAGCCAUACCGCGUGAGUGAAGAAGGCCUUCGGGUUGUAAAGCCCUUUUGUUGGGAAAGAAAAGCAGCAGGUUAAAACCCCGCUGUUCUGACGGUACCCAAAGAAUAAGCACCGGCUAACUUCGUG